AUUGACAUGUGGUCUGCAGGUGUCAUAUUUCUUUCUUUGCUUAGUGGACGAUAUCCAUUUUAUAAAGCAAGUGAUGAUUUAACUGCUUUGGCCCAAAUUAUGACAAUUAGGGGAUCCAGAGAAACUAUCCAAGCUGCUAAAACUUUUGGGAAAUCAAUAUUAUGUAGCAAAGAAGUUCCAGCACAAGACUUGAGAAAACUCUGUGAGAGACUCAGGGGUAUGGAUUCUAGCACUCCCAAGUUAACAAGUGAUAUACAAGGGCAUGCUUCUCAUCAACCAGCUAUUUCAGAGAAGACUGACCAUAAAGCUUCUUGCCUCGUUCAAACACCUCCAGGACAAUACUCAGGGAAUUCAUUUAAAAAGGGGGAUAGUAAUAGCUGUGAGCAUUGUUUUGAUGAGUAUAAUACCAAUUUAGAAGGCUGGAAUGAGGUACCUGAUGAAGCUUAUGACCUGCUUGAUAAACUUCUAGAUCUAAAUCCAGCUUCAAGAAUAACAGCAGAAGAAGCUUUGUUGCAUCCAUUUUUUAAAGAUAUGAGCUUGUGAUAAUGGAUCUUCAUUUAAUGUUUACUGUUAUGAGGUAGAAUAAAAAAAGAAUACUUUGUAAUAGCCACAAGUUCUUGUUUAGAGACCAGAGCAGGAUUAAUAAUUUAUUUUAACAUUUUAGUGUUUGGUGGCACAUUCUAAAAUAUAGAUUAAGAAUACUUAAAAUGCCUGGGAUAAUUCUUGGGACUAACAACAUGAUCUUCUUUGAGUUAAACCUACCUAAGUAGAUUUUAGGUGGGUUCCUAUUAGGUCAGAUUUUUAGCUUCCCUAAUUACCUUUCACUGACAUAUACAGAAAAAGGAGCAGUUUUAGUUUUAAUUAAUUAAAAUUAACAUGUGAUGAGGAUUAAAUGAAUCAAAAGACUUAAUUUGUAGAUUCUUUUAGAGUUAUGAGCUAGGUAUAGUUUGGGGAAACUCAACCUGGUGCUGGUGCUGGUGCUCUUAACAAUUUUGUAAGUAAAGAAGAUAAUUUCCUUUUCUAGAGGUACAUAUUAGGCCUUUUAUGAACACUAAAACAAUGAGGAAAUGUUGGUCAUGGGGCAAAGUAUCACUUAAAAUUGAAUUCUUCCAUUUUUAAAAAACACUUCAUGAAAGCAUUCUGGUGUGAAUUGCCAUUUUUUUCUUACUGGCUUCUCGAUUUUCUUCCUUCUCUGCCCCUACCUAAAACAUUCUCCUCGGAAAUUACAUGGUGCUGACCACAAAGUUUCUGGAUGUUUUAUUAAAUAUUGCACGUGUUUACAGUUGGGAAUUUAAAAUAAUACAUACACUGGUUGAUAAAGGGAAGCUGCAGGACCAAGGUGAAGAUUGAUAGUCCAAAUGCUUUUCUUUUUUGAGUUGUAUAUUUUUUCACACCAUCUUAGAUAUAAUUAGGUAGCUGCUGAAAGGAAAAGUGAAUACAGAAUUGACGGUAUUAUUGGAGAUUUUUCCUCUGCGUAGAGCCAUCCAGAUCUCUGUAUCCUGUUUUGACUAAGUCUUAGGUGGGUUGGGAAGACAGAUAAUGAAGUAGGCAAAGAGAAAAGGACCCAAGAUAGAGGUUUAUAUUCAGAAAUGAUAUAUAUCAAUGACAGCAUAUCAAACUUCCUAUGGGAAAAAGUCUGGUGGGUGGUCAGCUGACAGAUUUCCCAUUUAGUAGUCAUAGAAUACAGAAAUAGUUUAGGGACAUGUAUUCAUUUUGUUAUUUUGAGCAUUGAUAGGUCAGUAUAUCUACCUAAUCUGUUUGGUAAGUAUAGGAUAUAUAAACCAUUACCAUUGAUCUGUCUUAUGCCAUAAUCUUAAAAAAAAAUUGAAUGCUCUUGAAUUUGUAUAUUCAAUAAAGUUAUCCUUUUAUAUUUUUU
rnacentral:lncRNA from 1 species